GACGAACGCUGGCGGCGUGCCUAAUACAUGCAAGUAGAACGCUGAAGAGAGGAGCUUGCUCUUCUUGGAUGAGUUGCGAACGGGUGAGUAACGCGUAGGUAACCUGCCUGGUAGCGGGGGAUAACUAUUGGAAACGAUAGCUAAUACCGCAUAAAAUUGAUUAUUGCAUGAUAAUUAAUUGAAAGAUGCAACUGCAUCACUACCAGAUGGACCUGCGUUGUAUUAGCUAGUUGGUGAGGUAACGGCUCACCAAGGCGACGAUACAUAGCCGACCUGAGAGGGUGAUCGGCCACACUGGGACUGAGACACGGCCCAGACUCCUACGGGAGGCAGCAGUAGGGAAUCUUCGGCAAUGGGGGGAACCCUGACCGAGCAACGCCGCGUGAGUGAAGAAGGUUUUCGGAUCGUAAAGCUCUGUUGUAAGAGAAGAACGGGCGUGAGAGUGGAAAGUUCACACUGUGACGGUAUCUUACCAGAAAGGGACGGCUAACUACGUG
rnacentral:rRNA from 1 species